GAUUUCUUUAAGCAAAAACACUGAAUUUCUCCGGCUCGAUAAACUUCCACAUUUCAAGAACCAAAUCAUGCAAUUUAAAGAUGAUUUUGAUCCAAGAAUCGACUUGGACUCACUAUCUAGAGGCAAUAAUAUUGUCAAAGCUGAUAUAAUUUCUUCCAUCGUUUCAACUUCGUAAACGGAUGAUUUCUCCGUAAAACAAUCAAGUGUAGAUGAUAACAUCUUCCCU
rnacentral:misc_RNA from 1 species